UACGAAGGGUGCUAGCGUUGUUCGGAAUUACUGGGCGUAAAGCGCGUGUAGGCGGGUCGUUAAGUCGGGGGUGAAAGCCCAGAGCUCAAAUCUGGAACUGCCUUCGCGACUGGCGACCUGGACCCAAGGAGAGGCGAGGUGAAUUCCGAGUGUAGAGGUGAAAUUCGUAGAUAUUCGGAGGAACCCCAGUGGCGAAGGCGGCUCGCUGGACUUGUGGUGACGCUGAGACGCGAAAGCGUGGGGGGCACACAGG
rnacentral:rRNA from 1 species